UCAGCACAGAUCUACCGAUCAGACGCAAACAGCAUGAGCGGUCGCAACAUGUGUGCAGAUUGGCCAAAUGAUCCCCCGACUGUAGACUGACUCAUCAAUUACUAUGACUUCGUCGCAUAGGCUCAGUUGUUUGUAAGGCCUGGAGGACCGAGUAAUGCAGAGUCAUUCUCUAACUAUUACCUGUGGAGAAACAGAACCACAGUCAUUAGAUACCAUUGAUGACAGCUUUAUCUCGGGGACAAUAAGAAGUCUAAAAUACCUACAGCGAGUUGUGUGUUGGUCCCUUUCAUCUUGAUGGCAGUUUCUUGGCUGGCAUGUGUUGCCCGAGAGGGUCGUGUCUAGAAAGGACCACUCUUGUCAACCUUGCGAGAUUCUUACACUGCAUUAAUUUGAAGUGGCACAUCAAAGAGAAGCAAAAGAUGAUUUAAAAUUGUAUUGUAAUUGGAGUCAGAGAUAAAUACAGAAUUGUACAGUUAUUAAUUUCUGACCAUGAAAACCUUGUACCUUCCCAUGUAUGGAACUAAAUGCUGUUUUAUUUGAAUUUUAUAUGUAACCUUUGAAUUGUAAAAAAAAAAAAAAAAGUCACAAUAUUAAA